AUAAUAUAAUAAUAUAAUAUGAUGUGUUAUAAGAUGUAAUUAUGAAAUUUAUUAGUAGGUAUUUCGAUCAUUAAAAAAUUUUAUUUAAAUCAAAAUAGCUUUCCAAUAUUAACCAAAAGUAUUUUUGAAAAAAGCUCUAAAAUGGAGCUUUUCUCAAGUAGGUACCUUUUCAACUUUCUGAUAUAAUCAAAAUAAUUUUAUGACUUUUUACUAAACAUCACUAUACUGUACCUUCUGACCCUCUAAAAGCUCAGUCAAAUAGGACCUA
rnacentral:lncRNA from 1 species